GGGCGUAAAGCGAGCGCAGACGGUUGAUUAAGUCUGAUGUGAAAGCCCGGAGCUCAACUCCGGAAUGGCAUUGGAAACUGGUUAACUUGAGUGCAGUAGAGGUAAGUGGAACUCCAUGUGUAGCGGUGGAAUGCGUAGAUAUAUGGAAGAACACCAGUGGCGAAGGCGGCUUACUGGACUGUAACUGACGUUGAGGCUCGAAAGUGUGGGUAGCAAACAGGAUUAGAUACCCUGGUAGUCCACACCGUAAACGAUGAACACUAGGUGUUAGGAGGUUUCCGCCUCUUAGUGCCGAAGCUAACGCAUUAAGUGUUCCGCCUGGGGAGUACGACCGCAAGGUUGAAACUCAAAGGAAUUGACGGGGACCCGCACAAGCGGUGGAGCAUGUGGUUUAAUUCGAAGCAACGCGAAGAACCUUACCAGGUCUUGACAUCCUUUGAAGCUUUUAGAGAUAGAAGUGUUCUCUUCGGAGACAAAGUGACAGGUGGUGCAUGGUCGUCGUCAGCUCGUGUCGUGAGAUGUUGGGUUAAGUCCCGCAACGAGCGCAACCCUUAUUGUUAGUUGCCAGCAUUCAGAUGGGCACUCUAGCGAGACUGCCGGUGACAAACCGGAGGAAGGCGGGGACGACGUCAGAUCAUCAUGCCCCUUAUGACCUGGGCUACACACGUGCUACAAUGGCGUAUACAACGAGUUGCCAACCCGCGAGGGUGAGCUAAUCUCUUAAAGUACGUCUCAGUUCGGAUUGUAGUCUGCAACUCGACUACAUGAAGUCGGAAUCGCUAGUAAUCGCGGAUCAGCACGCCGCGGUGAAUACGUUCCCGGGUCUUGUACACACCGCCCGUCACACCAUGGGAGUUUGUAAUGCCCAAAGCCGGUGGCCUAACCUUUUAGGAAGGAGCCGUCUAAGGCAGGACAGAUGACUGGGGUGAAGUCG
rnacentral:rRNA from 1 species